GAUGAAGAACGUAGCGAAAUGCGAUAAGUAAUGUGAAUUGCAGAAUUCAGUGAAUCAUCGAAUCUUUGAACGCACAUUGCGCCCACCAGUAUUCUGGCGGGCAUGCCUGUUCGAGCGUCAUUUCAACCAUCAAGCCCCCGGCGUGUGUUGGGGACCUGCGGCUGCCGCAGGCCCUGAAAAGCAGUGGCGGGCUCGCUGUCACACCGAGCGUAGUAGCAUACAUCUCGCUCUGGGCGUGCUGCGGGUUCCGGCCGUUAAACCACCUUCAUAACCCAAGGUUGACCUCGGAUCAGGUAGGAAGACCCGCUGAACUUAAGCAUAUCAAUAAGCGGAGGA
rnacentral:misc_RNA from 1 species